UUGAAUAUAUAUUUUACGUAACUUUCUAUCUUGUUUGUCUCCCUCAAGAACAAUAGGACUGAGAUUCUCUUGGGUUUCUCAUUGUGUCCAUUAUACAUAUUGAUGGCUUAAUUAUACGACAUAAAUAGCUGGAGCAAGUAAUAUUUGGACCAACAUGCAUGUUUAAAUAUAUACACAGACACGAGACGGAACGUGUAUCAAGAACACAGGUGUGCUUAAUUACACUUCCGAUUUCAACUGCUUCUUUGCUUUUGUUUUUAGCAUAAUUAAGCUGUAUGGUUUUGAAUUUCAGCAUUGAUUUUACUUCUUUCUUUACUUUUAGAUGGGUGUUUCAAUUUGAAUUCUAACCAUCAAUCAUACUUAUCUUCCGAUUGAACAUCCAAAUUACUUUUGAAAAUCAGACUAAAAAGAUUAUGUCAAUAU
rnacentral:lncRNA from 1 species